rnacentral:rRNA from 1 species
AUGAAAGAUUUGGGAGAAGCCGAUGUAAUUCUAAACAUCAAACUUAUUAAGGAUGAGAGUGGGAUUACAUUAACGCAAUCUCACUAUGUUGAGAAGGUCUUGAACCGAUUCGGUUUUAUGGAUAGCAAGCCUUCUCCAACACCUUAUGAUCCCAGCGUGACACUUAGAAAGAACAAGAAAGAAACGAGAGAUCAAUUAAGAUACUCUCAAAUUGUCGGUUCACUCAUGUACUUAGCUAGCGCUACAAAACCAGAUAUCUCUUUUGCUGUGAGCAAACUGAGUAGGUUCAUGUCCAACCCGGGUGAUGAUCAUUGGCAUGCACUAGAAAGGGUCUUGCGCUAUCUGAGAGGUACUAUGAGUUACGGAAUUACUUAUUCAGGGCAUCCUGCUGUGCUAGAAGGAUAUAGUGAUUCAAAUUGGAUCUCCGAUGUUGAUGUACUUUACGCAACAAGUGGGUAUGUAUUUACUCAUGGUGGUGGCGCAGUAUCA